rnacentral:rRNA from 1 species
GAUGAACGCUGGCGGCGUGCCUAAUACAUGCAAGUCGAGCGAACGGACGAGAAGCUUGCUUCUCUGAUGUUAGCGGCGGACGGGUGAGUAACACGUGGAUAACCUACCUAUAAGACUGGGAUAACUUCGGGAAACCGGAGCUAAUACCGGAUAAUAUUUUGAACCGCAUGGUUCAAAAGUGAAAGACGGUCUUGCUGUCACUUAUAGAUGGAUCCGCGCUGCAUUAGCUAGUUGGUAAGGUAACGGCUUACCAAGGCAACGAUGCAUAGCCGACCUGAGAGGGGGAUCGGCCACCCGGGAACUGGAACACGGUCCAGACUCCUAGGGGAGGCAGCAGGAGGGAAUCUUCCGAAAGGGGCGAAAGCCUGACGGGGCAACGCCGGGGGAGUGAUGAAGGCCUUCGGAUCGUAAAACUCUGUUAUUGGGAAAGAACAUAUGUGUAAGUAACUGUGCACAUCUUGACGGUACCAAAUCAGAAAGCCACGGCUAACUACGU